rnacentral:rRNA from 1 species
GACGAACGCUGGCGGCGUGCUUAACACAUGCAAGUCGAACGGAAAGGUCCUGCUUUUGUGGGGUGCUCGAGUGGCGAACGGGUGAGUAACACGUGAGUAACCUGCCCUUGACUUUGGGAUAACUUCAGGAAACUGGGGCUAAUACCGGAUAGGAGCUCCUGCUGCAUGGUGGGGGUUGGAAAGUUUCGGCGGUUGGGGAUGGACUCGCGGCUUAUCAGCUUGUUGGUGGGGUAGUGGCUUACCAAGGCUUUGACGGGUAGCCGGCCUGAGAGGGUGACCGGCCACAUUGGGCCUAAGAUACGGCCCAGACUCCUACGGGAGGCAGCAGUGGGGAAUAUUGCACAAUGGGCGGACGCCUGAUGCAGCAACGCCGCGUGCGGGAUGCCGGCCUUCGGGUUGUAAACCGCUUUCGCCUGUGACGAAGCGUGAGUGACGGUAAUUGGUAAAGAAGCACCGGCUAACUACGUG